rnacentral:rRNA from 1 species
UACAUAGGUCUCAAGCGUUGUUCGGAUUCAUUGGGCGUAAAGGGUGCGUAGGCGGCGCGGUAAGUCGGGUGUGAAAUCUCGGAGCUUAACUCCGAAACUGCAUUCGAUACUGCCGUGCUUGAGGACUGGAGAGGAGACUGGAAUUUACGGUGUAGCGGUGAAAUGCGUAGAUAUCGUAAGGAAGACCAGUGGCGAAGGCGGGUCUCUGGACAGUUCCUGACGCUGAGGCACGAAGGCCAGGGGAGCAAACGGG